CACACCUGCUUUCUUUUUCCAAGGAACACCUUUGCCUUUUUUAGCAUUUCCUUUAGCAUGGUUCACAUAAUGAGCACUCUCAGGUGUCUCAUGCUUCAUCCUCUCCUCUUUUUGCACGCACAUGGUCAGAAGCUCAUUAAUUGAUCAUUUCUCUUUAUGUGUGGUAUAAGAUAUUACAAAUGGUCUAUAUUCUGGAGGAAGAGAGUUGAGAAUGAAAUGCACUAGAAAUGAUUCAGAAAUCUCAACUUCUAGGUGUUAGAAUUUGAUGCUUCGAGAUUUGAUCCACAAUAAACCC
rnacentral:lncRNA from 1 species